AAUAUUGCGCAAUGGGGGAAACCCUGACGCAGCGACGCCGCGUGAGCGAAGAAGGCCUUAGGGUCGUAAAGCUCUGUUAUAAGGGACGAACAUUAUCUAUGUAAACAAUGUAGAUAAAAGACGGUACCUUAUGAGUAAGCCCCGGCUAACUAUGUGCCAGCAGCCGCGGUAAGACAUAGGGGGCUAGCGUUGUCCGGAAUUACUGGGCGUAAAGAGCACGUAGGCGGGGAUUUAAGUCAGGUGUGAAAGACCGCAGCUUAACUGCGGGGUUGCACUUGAAACUGAAUUUCUUGAGGGCAGGAGAGGAAAGCAGAAUUCCUGGUGUAGCGGUGAAAUGCGUAGAAAUCAGGAGGAAUACCGGUGGCGAAGGCGGCUUUCUGGACUGACCCUGACGCUGAGGUGCGAAAGCGUGGGUAGCAAACA
rnacentral:rRNA from 1 species